CAGGGAGACAGGUGGGUGGGUAGGAUGGGACUACAGGCAGGGAGACAGGUGGGUGGGUAGGAUGGGACUACAGGCAGGGAGACAGGUGGGUGGGUAGGAUGGGACUGCAGGCAGGGAGACAGGUGGGUGGGUAGGAUGGGACUACAGGCACUGAGACAGGUGGGCGGGUAGGAUGGGACUGCAGGCAGGCCAGCUCUUAGUUCUCUUUCUAGCCCUGUCUUCCCUUCAGAAGAGUCGUCAAACAAGCCUCCCUCUCAUGGACAGCAUGCUCUGUUCUUCCUCCAGGGAACGAACAGACCAAAAUAAAGAUAGACGGAGGCAGGGCCAUCAUGGAUGCCAGUGUAUGGCAUGGCAGACCUGUAGUGACCAGAAUAGACUGCAUACUCACACAUAGUCCCCGCUCUGAU
ensembl:lncRNA